AACGUACGCUGGCGGCACGCCUAACACAUGCAAGUCGAGCGAGGUAGCAAUACCUAGCGGCAGACGGGUGCGUAACAUGUGGGAAUCUGCCUUUUGGUUCGGAACAACACGGGGAAACCUGUGCUAAUACCGGAUAAGUCCUUACGGAGAAAGUUUUAAUGCCAAAAGAUGAGCCCGCAUUUGAUUAGCUAGUUGGUGAGGUAAAAGCUCACCAAGGCGAUAAUCAAUAGCUGAUUUGAGAGGAUGAUCAGCCACACUGGGACUGAGAUACGGCCCAGACUCCUACGGGAGGCAGCAGUGGGGAAUCUUGCACAAUGGGCGAAAGCCUGAUGCAGCGAUGCCGCGUGAGUGAAGAAGGCCUUUGGGUUGUAAAGCUCUUUUGUCGGGAAAGAUAAUGACUGUACCCGAAGAAUAAGGUCCGGCUAACUUCGUGCCAGCAGCCGCGGUAAUACGAAGGGACCUAGCGUAGUUCGGAAUUACUGGGCGUAAAGAGUAUGUAGGCGGCUAGAUAAGUUAAUUGUGAAAGCCCAAAGCUUAACUUUGGAAUUGCAAUUAAAACUAUUUAGCUGGAGUAUGAUAGAGGAAAGCGGAAUACAUAGUGUAGAGGUGAAAUUCGUAGAUAUUAUGUAGAACACCAGUUGCGAAGGCGGCUUUCUGGAUCAUUACUGACGCUGAGAUACGAAAGUAUGGGUAGCGAAGAGGAUUAGAUACCCUCGUAGUCCAUACCAUAAACGAUGAUUAUUAGAUGUGGGGAAUUAUUUCUCUGUAUCAUAGCUAACGCGUUAAAUAAUCCGCCUGGGGAGUACGACCGCAAGGUUAAAACUCAAAUGAAUUGACGGGGACCCGCACAAGCGGUGGAGCAUGUGGUUUAAUUCGAAGCAACGCGCAGAACCUUACCAACCCUUGACAUGUUUGUCGCGAGACUAAGAAAUUAGUCUCU
rnacentral:rRNA from 1 species